AGUGAACGCUGGCGGUAGGCCUAACACAUGCAAGUCGAACGGCAGCACAGUAAGAGCUUGCUCUUACGGGUGGCGAGUGGCGGACGGGUGAGGAAUACAUCGGAAUCUACCUUUUCGUGGGGGAUAACGUAGGGAAACUUACGCUAAUACCGCAUACGACCUACGGGUGAAAGCAGGGGAUCUUCGGACCUUGCGCGAUUGAAUGAGCCGAUGUCGGAUUAGCUAGUUGGCGGGGUAAAGGCCCACCAAGGCGACGAUCCGUAGCUGGUCUGAGAGGAUGAUCAGCCACACUGGAACUGAGACACGGUCCAGACUCCUACGGGAGGCAGCAGUGGGGAAUAUUGGACAAUGGGCGCAAGCCUGAUCCAGCCAUACCGCGUGGGUGAAGAAGGCCUUCGGGUUGUAAAGCCCUUUUGUUGGGAAAGAAAAGCAGCAGGUUAAUACCCCGCUGUUCUGACGGUACCCAAAGAAUGAGCACCGGCUAACUUCGUG
rnacentral:rRNA from 1 species